rnacentral:rRNA from 1 species
AUGAACGCUGGCGGCGUGCCUAAUCCAUGCAAGUCGCGCGAACAGACGAGGAGCUUGCUCCUCUGACGUUAGCGGCGGACGGGUGAGUAACACGUGGAUAACCUACCUAUAAGACUGGGAUAACUUCGGGAAACCGGAGCUAAUACCGGAUAAUAUAUUGAACCGCAUGGUUCAAUAGUGAAAGACGGUUUUGCUGUCACUUAUAGAUGGAUCCGCGCCGCAUUAGCUAGUUGGUAAGGUAACGGCUUACCAAGGCAACGAUGCGUGGCCGACCUGAGAGGGUGAUCGGCCACACUGGAACUGAGACACGGUCCAGACUCCUACGGGAGGCAGCAGUAGGGAAUCUUCCGCAAUGGGCGAAAGCCUGACGGAGCAACGCCGCGUGAGUGAUGAAGGUCUUCGGAUCGUAAAACUCUGUUAUUAGGGAAGAACAAAUGUGUAAGUAACUAUGCACGUCUUGACGGUACCUAAUCAGAAAGCCACGGCUAACUACGUG